rnacentral:rRNA from 1 species
GACGAACGCUGGCGGCGUGCUUAACACAUGCAAGUCGAACGGAAAGGCCCUGCUUUUGUGGGGUGCUCGAGUGGCGAACGGGUGAGUAACACGUGAGUAACCUGCCCUUGACUUUGGGAUAACUUCAGGAAACUGGGGCUAAUACCGGAUAGGAGCUCCUGCUGCAUGGUGGGGGUUGGAAAGUUUCGGCGGUUGGGGAUGGACUCGCGGCUUAUCAGCUUGUUGGUGGGGUAGUGGCUUACCAAGGCUUUGACGGGUAGCCGGCCUGAGAGGGUGACCGGCCACAUUGGGACUGAGAUACGGCCCAGACUCCUACGGGAGGAAGCAGUGGGGAAUAUUGCACACUGGGCGGAAGCCUGAUGCAGCAACGCCGCGUGCGGGAUGACGGCCUUCGGGUUGUAAACCGCUUUCGCCUGUGACGAAGCGUGAGUGACGGUAAUGGGUAAAGAAGCACCGGCUAACUACGUG